UCCCUGGUGGUCCAGUGGUUAGGACUCUGCACUUCUACUGCAGGGGGCACGGGUUCAGAUCCCUGGUCGGGGAA